UACGGAGGGUGCAAGCGUUAUCCGGAUUCACUGGGGUUAAAGGGUGCGUAGGCGGGCAGGUAAGUCAGAGGUGAAAUCUCCGGGCUUAACCCGGAAACUGCCGUUGAUACUAUCUGUCUUGAAUAUCGUGGAGGUAAGCGGAAUAUGUCAUGUAGCGGUGAAAUGCUUAGAUAUGACAUAGAACACCCAUUGCGAAGGCAGCUUACUACACGAUCAUUGACGCUGAGGCACGAAAGCGUGGGGAGCAAACAGG
rnacentral:rRNA from 1 species